rnacentral:rRNA from 1 species
GCCUGGCCCUAAAUCUUGAUACUUACCCUACCGAAGUAUCCGCCAGAGAACUACGAGCACAAACGCUUAAAACUCUAAGGACUUGGCGGUGCCCUAAACCCACCUAGAGGAGCCUAUUCUGUAAUCGAUGAUCCACGAUCAACCCAACCGCCCCUUGCCAAGCACAGCCUACAUACCGCCGUCGCCAGCCCACCUCGAAUGAGAGCGCAACAGUGGGCGCAACAGCACCCCGCUAAUAAGACAGGUCAAGGUAUAGCCUAUGGGACGGAAGAAAUGGGCUACAUUCCCUAUGCAUAGGGCAACACGGAAAGAAGUAUGAAACUGCUUCUAGAAGGAGGAUUUAGCAGUAAAGCGGGACAAUAAAGCUCGCUUUAAGCCGGCCCUAGGGCACGU